rnacentral:tRNA from 1 species
GAAGGCAUGGUUCACAUGGUAGAGCACGUGCCUAACAAACAAGCUGAAGGGAGCAUGAGGCCCUGAGUUCAAACCUCAGUACCAUUA